UCUGCUGGCCUUGGCUGGGCUCUUUCAUGUCUGGGCAUGGCUGGCUGUUGGCUGAUCUAGACUGGUCAUGGCUUGACAGAUGAAGCAACUCUACUCCACAUUAUCUCUUAUCCUGUGCGCGGGCCCAGCCUUGAGGCAUCCUCGUGGCAAGGGCAGAAAUGCAAAUAAAUCCAAUCUUGGAAGCAAACCACGCUUCCGCACCCCACCUCCCCAUCACAUCUGCUAACAUCCUAUUGGCCAGAACGAGUCACAUGGUGGAGCUUGGAGUCCAAGUCAGAGGCACCGGUGAGUUACAGGUCAGGGAGGGUGUCUAGGGAGGGUUAAGAGAGACCAUCAUUGCAACUGCCUACAACACAUGUUCUGUCUUUGUAUAUUCAGAUGCAGUAAGCUGGUUUCACGCAAGAUGGCUGCCAGGGCUCCAGCCCCACAUCCUCCAGGUGGCACAGGCUAAGCUGUCUCCUGUGGCCAGAGAAUGUCCUUGGGUCGAGUCACUGCUGCUUGCAUCCAGAAGCUGGACUGGAAGUCAGCGAAGUAAGGAGUCUAUCGUUCUUCAGCCCCGUGUACAUUCCUCCCAGAUGACAGAUCAUAACCAUUGCAACCAACAAAGUGCGUACGUAAUGUCUGUUGGGCUCCUGGGAGAUGGUUCCCUCUUCCGAGAAAGGGCAUGCACGCUCAGCACUGACGAGUUACGAGAUCUUGAGCAAGUUACUGACCUUCUCUGCUCCUGUUUUAAAAAAGGGACUAAUAGCACCUAAGUCCUAGAGCUUCCGGAAUUAGUAUGUAGGUAUAUUGGGCUACAACAGGGUCUGGCAUAAAGUGCUACACUACUA